UUAAGCGACUAAGCGUACACGGUGGAUGCCCUGGCAGUCAGAGGCGAUGAAGGACGUGCUAAUCUGCGAAAAGCGCCGGCGAGGUGAUAUGAACCUUUGACCCGGCGAUGUCCGAAUGGGGAAACCCAGUGCAAUCCGUUGCACUAUCGUUAACUGAAUACAUAGGUUAACGAGGCGAACCGGGGGAACUGAAACAUCUAAGUACCCCGAGGAAAAGAAAUCAACCGAGAUUCCCCCAGUAGCGGCGAGCGAACGGGGAGCAGCCCGGAGUCUGAAUCAGCUUGUGUGUUAGUGGAACGGUCUGGAAAGUCCGACGGUACAGGGUGAUAGUCCCGUACACGAAAGCACACUUGCUGUGAACUCGAAGAGUAGGGCGGGACACGUGGUAUCCUGUCUGAAUAUGGGGGGACCAUCCUCCAAGGCUAAAUACUCCUGACUGACCGAUAGUGAACCAGUACCGUGAGGGAAAGGCGAAAAGAACCCCGGCGAGGGGAGUGAAAAAGAACCUGAAACCGUGUACGUACAAGCAGUGGGAGCCUCUUUAUGGGGUGACUGCGUACCUUUUGUAUAAUGGGUCAGCGACUUAUAUUCUGUAGCAAGGUUAACCGUAUAGGGGAGCCGAAGGGAAACCGAGUCUUAACUGGGCGUUAAGUUGCAGGGUAUAGACCCGAAACCCGGUGAUCUAGCCAUGGGCAGGUUGAAGGUUGGGUAACACUAACUGGAGGACCGAACCGACUAAUGUUGAAAAAUUAGCGGAUGACCUGUGGCUGGGGGUGAAAGGCCAAUCAAACCGGGAGAUAGCUGGUUCUCCCCGAAAGCUAUUUAGGUAGCGCCUCGUGAACUCAUCUUCGGGGGUAGAGCACUGUUUCGGCUAGGGGGCCAUCCCGGCUUACCAACCCGAUGCAAACUACGAAUACCGAAGAAUGUUAUCACGGGAGACACACGGCGGGUGCUAACGUCCGUCGUGAAGAGGGAAACAACCCAGACCGCCAGCUAAGGUCCCAAAGUCAUGGUUAAGUGGGAAACGAUGUGGGAAGGCACAGACAGCCAGGAUGUUGGCUUAGAAGCAGCCAUCAUUUAAAGAAAGCGUAAUAGCUCACUGGUCGAGUCGGCCUGCGCGGAAGAUGUAACGGGGCUAAACCAUGCACCGAAGCUGCGGCAGCGACACUAUGUGUUGUUGGGUAGGGGAGCGUUCUGUAAGCCGUUGAAGGUGUGCUGUGAGGCAUGCUGGAGGUAUCAGAAGUGCGAAUGCUGACAUAAGUAACGAUAAAGCGGGUGAAAAGCCCGCUCGCCGGAAGACCAAGGGUUCCUGUCCAACGUUAAUCGGGGCAGGGUGAGUCGACCCCUAAGGCGAGGCCGAAAGGCGUAGUCGAUGGGAAACAGGUUAAUAUUCCUGUACUUGGUGUUACUGCGAAGGGGGGACGGAGAAGGCUAUGUCAGCCGGGCGACGGUUGUCCCGGUUUAAGCAUGUAGGCGGAGGUUCCAGGUAAAUCCGGUACCUUGUUAACGCUGAGGUGUGAUGACGAGGCACUACGGUGCUGAAGUGAUAAAUGCCCUGCUUCCAGGAAAAGCCUCUAAGCAUCAGGUAACACGAAAUCGUACCCCAAACCGACACAGGUGGUCAGGUAGAGAAUACCAAGGCGCUUGAGAGAACUCGGGUGAAGGAACUAGGCAAAAUGGUGCCGUAACUUCGGGAGAAGGCACGCUGAUAUGUAGGUGAAGCCCCUGCGGGCGGAGCUGAAAUCAGUCGAAGAUACCAGCUGGCUGCAACUGUUUAUUAAAAACACAGCACUGUGCAAACACGAAAGUGGACGUAUACGGUGUGACGCCUGCCCGGUGCCGGAAGGUUAAUUGAUGGGGUUAGCGGCAACGCGAAGCUCUUGAUCGAAGCCCCGGUAAACGGCGGCCGUAACUAUAACGGUCCUAAGGUAGCGAAAUUCCUUGUCGGGUAAGUUCCGACCUGCACGAAUGGCGUAAUGAUGGCCAGGCUGUCUCCACCCGAGACUCAGUGAAAUUGAACUCGCUGUGAAGAUGCAGUGUACCCGCGGCAAGACGGAAAGACCCCGUGAACCUUUACUAUAGCUUGACACUGAACACUGGUCCUUGAUGUGUAGGAUAGGUGGGAGGCUUUGAAGCGUGGACGCCAGUCUGCGUGGAGCCAACCUUGAAAUACCACCCUUUAAUGGCUGGUGUUCUAACGUAGACCCGUAAUCCGGGUUGCGGACAGUGUCUGGUGGGUAGUUUGACUGGGGCGGUCUCCUCCCAAAGAGUAACGGAGGAGCACGAAGGUUGGCUAAUCCUGGUCGGACAUCAGGAGGUUAGUGCAAUGGCAUAAGCCAGCUUGACUGCGAGCGUGACGGCGCGAGCAGGUGCGAAAGCAGGUCAUAGUGAUCCGGUGGUUCUGAAUGGAAGGGCCAUCGCUCAACGGAUAAAAGGUACUCCGGGGAUAACAGGCUGAUACCGCCCAAGAGUUCAUAUCGACGGCGGUGUUUGGCACCUCGAUGUCGGCUCAUCACAUCCUGGGGCUGAAGUAGGUCCCAAGGGUAUGGCUGUUCGCCAUUUAAAGUGGUACGCGAGCUGGGUUUAGAACGUCGUGAGACAGUUCGGUCCCUAUCUGCCGUGGGCGCUGGAGAAUUGAGGGGGGCUGCUCCUAGUACGAGAGGACCGGAGUGGACGCAUCACUGGUGUUCGGGUUGUCAUGCCAAUGGCACUGCCCGGUAGCUAAAUGCGGAAGAGAUAAGUGCUGAAAGCAUCUAAGCACGAAACUUGCCCCGAGAUGAGUUCUCCCUGAGAC
rnacentral:rRNA from 1 species